AUCAUGGGGAUUUAUCAUGGGAUUAUCAUGGGGACCUGUCAGGAGGCUGCUGCAGGGAUUCACUGAGCUGUCUUGGGUCAAAUACUGUGUGACCUGUCCACCUUCAAGGAGCCCUCUAAAUGGGGACAACAAAUACAUGUUUUCAAUACCAUGGUCUGGGCAAAGGAAAGCAAAGAGACAGCCAGAGGGACUCUUCUGAAGCCUAAAUGAAAUCAUCACGCUGCCCUGCUCAGAGCCCCACCGUGGCUCCUCAGCACACUUGGAGUAAAGCCCAAAGUCCUCCCCAAGGUCUGUUCACCCCUACUCCCCGUUCCUGCAGGUGCACACCUCUGCUGCUCCCCAUCUCAGGUCCUGCACCUUCCGUCCCGUUUGUGCUGUGAUUUGAGCAGGUCAAACUGUGCCCACCUCAGGGCCCUAGCCUCUUUCUGCCAGGGAUUCUUGGUCCCAGGUAUCUGCAAAGCCCUCUCCUUGCCAGAUUCCAGCUCAAAUACAUUCCUCGAUCAUCAUAUUUAAACGAUCUCUCCUUCCCCUUCUAGCCAACCUAUCUUCCCUCCUGUAGCUUUCCCUGUAUCAUGUAUAUUACCUACCAGUGUAUCAUAUGACGGAUGUUUGUUUGUUCAUUUUCUAUCCCUUCCCCAGUAGAAUGCAAAUUCCAGGGGGGCGGGGACAUUGUGCCUUUGGUCUUUGGCUCUCAUAGAUGCUCAGUGAAUAUUUGUUGAAUGAAUGAGUAAAUGAGCACAUAGUGGGCAUUUAAUAAAUAGUUGGUGAGCAGACAGAGAAGGGGGUCUCAAGGGCUAAACGGGGCCUGCCAGAACAGCAGGGGUAAGGUGCGAUCCAGUUUGGAGAUGACGGACUUGGAGAGACAAAAGUGCACAGACACUGUCCAGAACUUUUCAAGAAUACAUUUAUUAAGUCUUCCCCUCAGGCAAGCCUGGCCGUCAGUGAAGAGAAGACAGGUCUGCUUCGAGCCAUCACUGGGAGAGCCCGGGAGCUUCCUGCUCUUGGUGGAUUUCCUUAUGUGCAGUCUUCAGCACUCUGGCUAUUAGAACUAUGAAUUCAUCGAAGGAGACCUGUCCAUCUUUAUCUUUAUCUAAGUCUUGGAAUAUGUCAUCAAUGGCAGCUUUA